UCAUGUCUCAGUGGCAAACUGAAGUUCGUAUAGGAAACAAAAACUAAUAAUAAACAUUGUUUUUUAGUCUCGCUAAGUAUUUUCCUAUAACCGCAAACUUCCGUCUAGAUAAGUUGUGUAGAGUAAUGAAGUGUUAAGAUUUGUGGACUCAUUCGAUACCCGGCAGCGUGGCGGAGGUGACUACUGAAAUAUUAUAAGUUUGACAUGCUACUGAAAAUCGUCUUUCUCUGCGUGAUGCUGCACAUGUCAUCGGUACAGUGCGGAGAUGAGCACAUGGGGGGCGGAGUGGGGAUGGCAGACGAGGCCCUCCUGUUUGUCAGCAAUGUUUUGUUCGCCCCGUUCUGGAGCAGCCAGCCGAUCGAGGCUGGAAAUGCCUUCGGAGGCGCCGAAGGCAUCUGUCCGAGUGAUAGCGUAUGUUCCGACCUGUGACGUAACGUUACGUCCGUUAAAUGAUGUACUUAGAUAUGUUAUGUGCGGAUACUAUUAGGUCGUAAACUAUGUGAAAAAGCUUUAUGAAUAAAUUAGGUACUUACUUUUUUGUUAAA